UGCAAGUCGAACGGUAGCAGGAAGGUCUUCGGAUCUUUGCUGACGAGUGGCGAACGGGUGAGUAAUACAUCGGAACGUGCCUGAUAGUGGGGGAUAACUACUCGAAAGAGUAGCUAAUACCGCAUGAGAUCUACGGAUGAAAGCAGGGGACCUUCGGGCCUUGUGCUAUCAGAGCGGCCCAUGUCAGAUUAGGUAGUUGGUGGGGUAAAAGCUCACCAAGCCUGCGAUCUGUAGCUGGUCUGAGAGGACGACCAGCCACACUGGGACUGAGACACGGCCCAGACUCCUACGGGAGGCAGCAGUGGGGAAUUUUGGACAAUGGGCGAAAGCCUGAUCCAGCCAUGCCGCGUGCAGGAAGAAGGCCCUCGGGUUGUAAAGUGCUUUCGUACGGAAGGAAAAGCCUGGGGCUAAUAUCCCCGGGUCAUGACGGUACCGUAAGAAUAAGCACCGGCUAACUACGUGCCAGCAGCCGCGGUAAUACGUAGGGUGCAAGCGUUAAUCGGGAUUACUGGGCGUAAAGCGUGCGCAGGCGUUUUUGUAAGACAGUGGUGAAAUCCCCGGGCUCAACCUGGGAACUGCCUUUGUGACUGGAAAGCUAGAGUGCGGCAGAGGGGGGUGGAAUUCCGCGUGUAGCAGUGAAAUGCGUAGAUAUGCGGAGGAACACCGAUGGCGAAGGCAAUCCCCUGGGCCUGCACUGACGCUCAUGCACGAAAGCGUGGGGAGCAAACAGGAUUAGAUACCCUGGUAGUCCACGCCCUAAACGAUGUCAACUGGUUGUUGGGUCGUUAACUGACUCAGUAACGAAGCUAACGCGUGAAGUUGACCGCCUGGGGAGUACGGCCGCAAGGGUGAAACUCAAAGGAAUUGACGGGGACCCCCACAAGCGGUGGAUGAUGGGGUUUAAUUCCAUGCAACCCGAAAAACCUUACCCACCUUUGACAUGGCAGGAACUUACCAAAAAUGGUUUGGUGUCUAAAGAAACCUGCACACAGGUGCUGCAUGGCUGUCGUCAGCUCGUGUCGUGAGAUGUUGGGUUAAGUCCCGCAACGAGCGCAACCCUUGCCAUUAGUUGCUAGCAUUUCAGUUGAGCACUCUAAUGGGACUGCCGGUGACAAACCGGAGGAAGGUGGGGAUGACGUCAAGUCCUCAUGGCCCUUAUAGGUGGGGCUACACACGUCAUACAAUGGCUGGUACAAAGGGUUGCCAACCCGCGAGGGGGAGCUAAUCCCAUAUAGCCAGUCGUAGUCCGGAUCGCAGUCUGCAACUCGACUGCGUGAAGUCGGAAUCGCUAGUAAUCGUGGAUCAGAAUGUCACGGUGAAUACGUUCCCGGGUCUUGUC
rnacentral:rRNA from 1 species